UACGUAGGGUGCAAGCGUUGUCCGGAAUUAUUGGGCGUAAAGAGCUCGUAGGCGGUUUGUUGAGUCUGCUGUGAAAACUCGGGGCUUAACUCCGGGCCUGCAGUGGGUACGGGCAGACUAGAGUGCGGUAGGGGAGACUGGAAUUCCUGGUGUAGCGGUGAAAUGCGCAGAUAUCAGGAGGAACACCGGUGGCGAAGGCGGGUCUCUGGGCCGUAACUGACGCUGAGGAGCGAAAGCGUGGGGAGCGAACAGG
rnacentral:rRNA from 1 species